rnacentral:lncRNA from 1 species
GGGGUCAGAGAGGUUAAGUGUGUUACUCAAGGUCACACAGCUUCAAAUGGCAUUAAAAAAACUUAAUUUAUAUCAUUCGCCAACUUCUGUUGUGUAAAUACUUCCAUCAUGACUGAUUUCAAACCAACACGCUGACACAGAAUGCGGAGUGGAGAGAAAUGAACACAGCCUGCUCUCAUGGGACUUGGCUCCAGCGCAACACUGAAUAAAACUGAAAUGAAAUACAUGGAAAGGAACUUAUAGUGAAAAUACAUAUUUCUCUGUUUUCGUGCUCAGGGCUGACUACCCUAGAAUUCUGACUUAAUAGAAGGGUCUGUAUGGAGGCCCACCAUGGUGGCAACUGCUGUGUGUGCACAUGGGGCCAGGUGUGCCACUUUAGUCCUCAAACAUCAUGGGAAGCAUUGCAAUUAGUGAUGUAAUUUUUGUGAAAUGGUGAACCAGUCUCUAUAAUGUUCUGAACAAAGGACUAUCUUCCCUCAAUUUGCAAAGUGGUUGUAUUCUUGGAAAACUCAGGGUGUACUAGAAUCAUGCUAAAAAUAAUUUAUGCUUAUACAUAAAACAGAGUUAAGCUAAAGACACAGGACUUUCAUUCACCAAAAUGUCCCACAAGAUUUUUAAAUGUCCCCACUUGCAAAACGCCAGUGGAGACCCUCAAUCAUCACAACAUUAAAACCCACUCCCACAAAUUGCCAGAACAGUCCUUUGGUGCGGUACUUGACACCUGUUGAGAUCACUGCUACAAAGGCACACACCUCUUCACUAUAGGAAGACCACUCUCUAAGACCCCCACCAUGCUGUGAGCUUUGCUAAUUUGCUUAUGAAGAUGCUUC